GACGGAGGAUGCAAGUGUUAUCCGGAAUCACUGGGCGUAAAGCGUCUGUAGGUGGUUCGAAAAGUCCACUGUUAAAAAUUGAGGCUUAACUUCAAAGAUGCCGUGGAAACUUUCAAACUAGAGUAUGGUAGGGGUAGAGGGAAUUUCCAGUGGAGGCGGUGAAAUGCGUAGAUAUUGGAAAGACCACCGAUGGCGAAGGCACUCUACUGGGCCAUUACUGACACUGAGAGACGAAAGCUAGGGGAGCAAAUGGG
rnacentral:rRNA from 1 species